rnacentral:SRP_RNA from 2 species
GGGAGGUUGGCGGCAGGCGUGCCGCUCGCCAAUCGGGUCAGGUCCGAGAGGAAGCAGCCCUAACGAAUUCGGCGCGGGUUGUUGUUCAGCCUCCCACC